GUUCCUACGGGGGGCAGCAGUAGGGAAUUUUCGGCAAUGGGGGGAACCCUGACCGAGCAACGCCGCGUGAACGAAGAAGUUAUUCGUAAUGUAAAGUUCUUUUAUCAGGGAAGAAAGAGGAAUUUGACGGUACCUGAGGAAUAAGCUCCGGCUAACUACGUGCCAGCAGCCGCGGUAAUACGUAGGGGGCAAGCGUUAUCCGGAUUUACUGGGUGUAAAGGGAGCGUAGGCGGCAGUGCAAGUCCGGAGUGAAAGCCCGGGGCUCAACCCUGGGACUGCUCUGGAAACUGUAAAGCUGGAGUGCG
rnacentral:rRNA from 1 species